AGUAAAUAGAUACCCGGGUAGUCCACGCCGUAAACGAUGAGUACUAGGUGUAGGAGGUAUCGACUCCUUCUGUGCCGCAGUUAAACACAAUAAGUACUCCGCCUGGGAAGUACGGUCGCAAGAUUAAAACUCAAAGGAAUUGACGGGGGCCCGCACAAGCAGCGGAGCAUGUGGUUUAAAUUCGAAGCAACGCGAAGAACCUUACCUAGACUUGACAUCUCCUGAAUAGUGUAGAGAUACAUGAAGCCCUUCGGGGCGAGGAAGACAGGUGGUGCAUGGUUGUCGUCAGCUCGUGUCGUGAGAUGUUA
rnacentral:rRNA from 1 species